GAUGAACGCUGGCGGCGUGCCUAAUACAUGCAAGUCGAGCGAACGGACGAGAAGCUUGCUCCUCUGAUGUUAGCGGCGGACGGGUGAGUAACACGUGGAUAACCUACCUAUAAGACUGGGAUAACUUCGGGAAACCGGAGCUAAUACCGGAUAAUAUUUUGAACCGCAUGGUUCAAUAGUGAAAGACGGUCUUGCUGUCACUUAUAGAUGGAUCCGCGCUGCAUUAGCUAGUUGGUAAGGUAACGGCUUACCAAGGCAACGAUGCAUAGCCGACCUGAGAGGUUGAUCGGCCACACUGGAACUGAGACAGGUCCCAGACUCCUACGGGAGGCAGCAUUAGGGAAUCUUCCGCAAUGGGCGAAAGCCUGACGGAGAAACGCCGCGUGAGUGAUGAAGGUCUUCGGAUCGUAAACCUCUGUUAUUAGGGAAGAACAUAUGUGUAAGUAACUGGGCACAUCUUGACGGUACCAAAUCAGAAAGCACCGGCUAACUACGU
rnacentral:rRNA from 1 species